UCCAAUUUUAUUCUCCAGCACUUUUGAAUUGCAUUUUCAUCUACACUAGAUAUUUAUGAAUAACAGUUUCUUUGUUUGAUAUAAUUUUUAUGUUAUCACGGUGUUGUUUUCCUUUUGCAUGAAUAUGGCAUUAGCAUUCAAACCUUAGGUUCAACAUAUACUCUCAUCUUCCUCUGCAUCCACAUACCUUCAACUACUUGAAGCUGCAUAUGGUUUCCAGAGGGGAGUUGCAAGUUCCGAUGCACAUUAAAAACCUUAGAGGCACCUUCUCAUAGUGCCUCACACCACAUUGUUCGGACAUGUGAAUUCAAAUGGUAGAGUCAGACGCCUCGGUGCAGUGGCUAGAUAGUUUCAGAAUUCAGACUUCCAAUGUACUUUUAUGAGAUGUUCGUGUUCAUUCUGGUUGAUGGCAUAAUAUUUGUUCUUUUGACAAGUUCAUUCAUUAUACUAACCAAGUACAUAACUUGCAGACCUUUGGCCUUUACUUUAUGAUUUGAUUGAUGGGAAGUCGAGUUAUCUAUAUUGAACACAUUUUUAUUUUUUUGCAGGAUGGUUGAUACAUGUCUACACAUUUUGUCAGAGCAAUUUGUAGUGGAAGAAGUACCCUCAGACUGAUAAGAAGGCAACGGUUAUUUCGAAGUAACGGUUAUUGUUGUAGAUCAAGGAUGACAAGAAGGCAACUAAUGUACCAGGUGCAGGUAAUUAGCAACCUAGUAUGCAUGGAUGUGAUGACUUUGAAGUUUUAUGGAGCAUUUGGCUGUCUGCAGUAUUUUGGACCAGCCAACUUAAUUGUAAUCCUGAAUCUUAUGUGUUUUCUGGACCAUUUGGUGCUCAAGUGUUAUGGAGUAGAAAUCUUGUGCUCAUGGAUGUUACUCAAUUAUUUGGACCAUUUAGUUUUUGAAGUAUUUUAGACCAGCGAGUAGGGGUCCUUUAUGUGACUUGUGUUUUCUGGAUGGUUGCCAAGAUGGCCAAACUUUGCUUUGUGUAGAUUGACUUGUGCUUGAACCUGCGAACAGUGUGUGUGUGUGUGUAGUUUUGUUACCAUUUUAUCAAUGAUUGUGCAAUGUGUUCAUCUUGAUACUGUUUGUGGAUAAGAGUUGAGCAUUGUAUAUAA